GUAGUAUGAGCGCAUUAUUGGCUUUGCGUCAGUGCUGUGAGGGUGGUGCUUAGGUAAAUCCGGGCACCGUUAAGCUCAAGCAGAGCAGAAAGCGUGAGGCCUCGGCCGAUCGCGAUUCAUAUGAGCAGCCUUCCGAGAAAAGCCUCUAAGCUUCAGAUAUAGUGUGACCGUACCGCAAACCGACACAGGUGGGAGGGUCGAGAAGACCAAGGUGAACGAGUGAUUGCUCCUCAAGGAACUCGGCAAAAAAGCGGCCGUAACUUAGGGAUAAGGCCUCCCAGCACAUCGCAUGGAAUGCGAUGUGAGCGUUCAGCGAAUAGCGUCGAGCGUUUAGAGCGUUGCCAAAGGCAACGCGUUCUAGACGCUAACCGCUAGCAACUAACCGCUUGCCAUCGCGCUUCGCGCGAUGUGCUGGGCGCAGCGAAAGAUUUCCUGGCGACUGUUUAUCAAAAACACAGCUCCCUGCAAACUCGAAAGAGGACGUAUAGGGGGUGACACCUGACCAAUGCCGGAAGGUCAACUACGGACGGUGUGCGCAUCACAAGGAGUGGGAUGCAGAGCGUUUAGCGAAUAGCGCCGAGCGUUUAGAGCGUUGCCAAAGGCAACGCGUUCUAGACGCUAACCGCUAGCAACUAACCGCUUGCCAUCGCGCUUCGCGUGAUGUGCAUGCUGGACUGUAUAAGCCCCGGUCAAUGUCAGCGAUAACUAUAAUCGUUCUAAGGUCAUGAAAAUCUUGAUUUAUCAAGGUUUUCAUGAGGACUGGAACGAUUAUAGAGAUAAACAUAGUUACACAAAAAGCUACCUUACUAAGAUGUAAGUCUUAGUUAGUCCGAUCGUAACCAACAAGAGACCACAUGUUACGCACCCCACCUUUUGGCAACAAGAGAGGGUGAAGAUAGAGUCCUUCUGUAAGGAAUAGAAGAGCGCAAUUCCUUGUCUGGUAUGAAGGUGCCAGUCGUGGCGGUGACGCCACGAACAAAACCGGCUAAUAACGGUGAAGCCCUCAUUGGAGCACUGCUAAGGACAGUGUGAUGAAGAAAGGGUAAUACCGUGGGAACCACGUUAGUUGCUAGUUUCUGGUUUCUCGUUUCUGGUUGCGCGCGAAGCGCGCUCAAUAUUCGGCGAAGCCGAAUAUUCACUAGAAACUAACAACUAGAAACUAGCAACUAAUCUGGACCCGUAUCGACUUUAGUCACCUCUAUCUGUAGGUGACUAGGAUGGAUGCUGAUACACUGAAAUCAUGCCGUAUCACAUUCAUAAUACGCCGGCUCUGAAGCAGAGAUCUGUUGUCGAUUAUGUUUCUGGAUAUGUUGAUGGCGAAGGCUGCUUUUCCGUUUCGUUCUCGAAACGCGACAAGAUGACCGUCGGGUGGGAAGUAAAACCCUCACUCGCGGUUGGCCAGAACCAUGAUCGAGCCGAAGUUCUGUAUCUGAUACAGAGUUACUUCGGUGCGGGACAUAUCCGAAGAGAUUUUAUCGGCAACAAUCACACCUUGAAGUGGGAAGUGAGAAGACUGCAUGAUCUCUGCGAGAUCAUCAUUCCUCAUUUCACCAAGUUCCCCAUGCUUUCGAGCAAACAGAACGACUUCAAGCUCUUCGCACAGAUCUGUUGCUUAUUGCAGCAGGAAGAGCAUGUGCACCUCAAAGGAUUCUCUCGAAUCGUCGAGCUUGCCUGUAUGAUGAAUACAAGCGGUCGAAGAAAGUAUUCGAAAGAAAAUAUCAUUGAGCAUGCACGGCUUCAGAUGAAGAUAUAGUCAGUGCCAUUGGAAACAAUGGAAUAUCACGAAAUUCAGACGCGCACGAAUGGUGUAACGACUGGGAAACUGUCUCGAGGAGUAGCUCGGUGAAAAUGCAAUUCCGGUAAAGAUGCCGGAUACCCGCGGAAAGACAGAAAGACCCCAGGAGCUUUACUAUAGCUUCAUAUUGGGGCAACGUUUGUACUGCGUAGCAUAGGUGGGAGAGGUUGAAGCCUGGAUUUCGGUUUAGGUGGACUCGUCAGUGAAAUACCACUCUUUAUGAAUGUUGUCUCUAACCGGGCACGCAAAACGUGUUCGAGACAGUGUGUGGCAGGUAGUUUUGCUGGGGCGGCACCCUCCCAAAGAGUAACGGAGGGGUCUAUGAAGGUCGGCUAGGCGCGAAUGGAAACCGUGCCGAUAGUGUAAGGGCAUAAGCCGGCUUGACUGCAAGGGGUACAUCCCGAGCAGGUGCGAAAGCAGAGCCUAGUGAACCGAAGGUGGCCUUUAGAUGGCGCCUGCGAUUAACGGAUAAAAGUUACCCUGGGGAUAACAGGCUAGUUCCGCCUAAGCGUCCAUAGCGACGGCGGAGUUCGGCACCUCGAUGUCGGCUCACCACAUCCCGGGGCUGGAGAAGGUCCCAAGGGUUUGGCUGUUCGCCAAUUAAAGUGGUACGCGAGCUGGGUUCAGACCGUCGUAAGACAGGUUGGUUCUCUAUCUUCCGUGGGCGUUGAUACUUGAGAAGAGCUGUCCCUAGUACGAGAGGACCGGGAUGGACUGACCUCUGGUCUACCUGCUGUUUCGCCAGAAGCAUCGCAGGGUAGCUAUGUCGGGAACGGAUAACCGCUGAAAGCAUCUAAGCGGGAAGCCGACUUCAAGAUUAGGUAUCAUUUGAGGCCCGUAGGAGACUACUACGUUGAUAGGCACUAGGUGUACGCGCAGUGAUGCGUUAAGCCGAGGUGUACUAAUUCGCCAAGUAGAUCCCUC
rnacentral:rRNA from 1 species